AGAUUUCCUCUGAGACUUCCAAAAUGGUUUUCAGACACACUGGAUAAGAGUCAGCAACUUCCUGCGAGGACUUCAUACUUUCAGCUCUACGUCUUCCCAUGGCAUUUUGACCGCGCUGAGCCCAAGGGACCUGCUCUUCACAAUGAGUGACGAGAAGAAUCUGGGUGUGUCCCAAAAGUUGGUUUCACCCUCAAGAAGCACAAGUAGCUGUUCCUCCAAGCAAGGAAGCCGGCAGGACAGCUGGGAAGUGGUGGAAGGAUUGAGAGGGGAGAUGACUUACACCCAGGAGCCGCCUGCGCAGAAAGGAUUUUUGCUGAAAAAGAGGAAGUGGCCCUUAAAAGGCUGGCACAAGAGAUUCUUCUGCCUGGAAAAGGGAAUCUUGAAAUAUGCCAAGAGCCAAACUGAUAUUGAGAGAGAGAAGCUGCACGGCAGUAUUGACGUGGGGCUCUCCGUGAUGUCUGUGAAGAAGUCAUCCAAAUGUAUAGACCUCGACACCGAGGAGCACAUCUACCACCUGAAGGUGAGGCU
rnacentral:lncRNA from 1 species